GCGGGUGGAAGAGCGUCGGUGGAUCUGAACUAUGCAGUCUAACAUCGAAUCUCGGAUCACAAAAAAAAACAAAGGGUGAUGACUUCAAUUAUACGUAUGUGUCUAAAAGGUUUGUAAAAUUUAAAGCAGCCGACAGCAAUUAUGCGACGAUGUGGGCUACUUUUAGAGACUUUCAAAUAUUAAAAUUUUCAUUUAUUUUUUCUACAAGACAAAGCAGAAAAUUAAAAUACAUAAAAGAAAAAUAAAAAAGAUUAAUUCCUAAUGGAUUCGGGAUAAAAAAAUCUAUAACACAAAAAAAUUCUAUAAUACACAAUCUAAUUAUUCUAAGGGAGUUUUAGGUGAUCAAUACUAUUAAAAAGGAAGGAGUCUAAAAAAUCUACCUAUAAAAGUUGUUUGGACCCUUUCAUUUAAUCGUAAAAGCAUUGAAACUAAUGUUUUAUAUUAUAACUUUUAUCAUAUAAUGUAUGAUUUAAAGCAAGAUAAAUUACAAGACAUAUAUGUGUACAUUUUAACUUCCUCUUUCGUUUAUAAUAAAGUAAUCAUAUCAUAUAUAAACUUUCCCACUAAAAUCUCAUAUCAUAUACUAAACUUUCAACCGUCUAUAGUUUGAUAAUAUUUUCAUAUUUAAAAAUGAUUUUUCUGAAUAUUCAUGUUACCUUCACAAAAAUGAAUAAAUUCAUUGGCUCUAUUAAAGCUAAC
rnacentral:lncRNA from 1 species